rnacentral:rRNA from 1 species
UCGAAAAUCGGAAUAAGCUUGCUGCUUCGCUGACGAGUGGCGGACGGGUGAGUAAUGUCUGGGAAACUGCCUGAUGGAGGGGGAUAACUACUGGAAACGGUGGCUAAUACCGCAUAACGUCGCAAGACCAAAGAGGGGGACCUUCGGGCCUCUUGCCAUCAGAUGUGCCCAGAUGGGAUUAGCUUGUUGGUGAGGUAACGGCUCACCAAGGCGACGAUCCCUAGCUGGUCUGAGAGGAUGACCAGCCACACUGGAACUGAGACACGGUCCAGACUCCUACGGGAGGCAGCAGUGGGGAAUAUUGCACAAUGGGCGCAGCCUGAUGCAGCCAUGCCGCGUGUAUGAAGAAGGCCUUCGGGUUGUAAAGUACUUUCAGCGGGGAGGAAGGUGUUGUGUUAAUAACCGCAGCAUUGACUUACCCGGAAGAAGCACCGGCUAACUCCGUGCCGCAGCCGCCCAAUACGGAGGGUGCAAGCGUUAUCGAAUUACUGGGCGUAAGCCCCCGGGGGC